UAAAUCUAACUUCAGACCAUAC
rnacentral:siRNA from 1 species